rnacentral:sRNA from 1 species
GCCUUCGAGAAUGACGCCGCGGCUCCCGGCGAUAUCAACUUGGCCACCCGCCCAUUCAUCGUAGGGUGGAAGCGUCGAGUCGAACUGGCCGUUGCCCUCGUAAUUCAGAUUGGUGGCCCAGCCCUUAAGAUAGUUGAGAAGGUUGGCGCUUGCUGCUGUCAGAUUCAUGGUGAGUUUUCCUUGGUUCUGAACGAUGGCCGCAGGUUGAUCCUGCGACAGUGUGCUGUGAGCAAUUGUUCCAUGUCUUGUCUCCCGAAGUGGCUUUUCGUUUCGAUUGAACGGGAGCGAUAGAUGCGCCCCACGUUACGCAUGUCGAACGGAACUUCGCCCCUCAUCCGCCUGCCGGCACCUUCUCCCCGCGAGCGGGGCGAAGGGGACUCGCGGCGCCGCUCUACCCUCAGCCCCUCAAGAGCGAGCGGUGAGGCCGAGGCUUGUCCCUUCUCCCCGUCAGAAAAGGGGAGAAGGUCGCGGCAGCGGGAUGAGGGGCAUCCGCUUCGCUCGAAGAACCGACAAUCGGGCGCGGCCGCUUCACUCGAACCACUCUAGAACUUGAAGUUCAGCGAUACCGUCGCGGUCCGCCCCGGAGCGGGAUAGUAAAA